CUCCGCUCUAGACCUCAGCGGUUCUGGCUGCCAGCCUGGGCAGCCUGGGAAGCCUGGGAGGACGGUGGCUUGCCGGUCUGUCGUGAGGCAGUGCGGACGGGGACCCUCUGGGAUUCUGCUGGAUCUGCCCCGGGGGUUACCUUUGGGGGCUGGGACCCCAGUCGAGGGGACACAACCGUCCCUGGCAGUGGUUGGUUCUGCUUCUCCCUGCAGAAAAGCAGCAUUUUCGGAAGCUGAAGAAUAAGCUAGCCCAGCCACACCACCUUGUUGUGUGACCUUGGGCAGGUGGUUCUGUCUCUCUGAGCCUCUGUUUCUCUCUGAGCUGAGCAGCCACCAUGGCUGACGGUCAGAUGCCCUUCUCCUGCCACUACCCAAGCCGCCUGCGCCGAGACCCCUUCCGGGACUCUCCCCUCUCCUCUCGCCUGCUGGAUGAUGGCUUUGGCAUGGACCCCUUCCCAGACGACUUGACAGCCUCUUGGCCCGACUGGGCUCUGCCUCGUCUCUCCUCCGCCUGGCCAGGCACCCUAAGGUCGGGCAUGGUGCCCCGGGGCCCCACUGCCACCGCCAGGUUUGGGGUGCCUGCCGAGGGCAGGACCCCCCCACCCUUCCCUGGGGAGCCCUGGAAAGUGUGUGUGAAUGUGCACAGCUUCAAGCCAGAGGAGUUGAUGGUGAAGACCAAAGAUGGAUACGUGGAGGUGUCUGGCAAACAUGAAGAGAAACAGCAAGAAGGUGGCAUUGUUUCUAAGAACUUCACAAAGAAAAUCCAGUAAGUAACCUGGAGUCAUGGAGCUCAGGGUGGGAGUGGAGGAGGGGGCACACCUGGGACCCAUGAUCUGGGGUCUCUCCCUCUUGGGCAUCUCUCUUUUAAGACACCUCCUUGGGGCAGGGAAUUGAACCCUCACACCUAACGAGGAGAAAAUAUCCCAGCAGACCUGUAAUAGGGUCCCAGAAGGGGGAGCACAUAGAUUGCAUCAUCUCAUCUGCUCGGUGCCCUGUGAGGUGGGUAUUAAAAACCCCAUUUUAUUUAUUUAUUAUUUAUUUAUUUAUCUUGAGACCGAGUCUCACUCUGUCACCCAGUCUGGAGUGCAGCGGUGUGAUCCCAGCUCACUGCAACCUCCACCUCCUGGGUUCAAGCGGUCCGUGUGCCUCAGCCUCCUGAGUAGUUGGGAUUACAGGCAUGUGCCACCAUGUCCGGCUAAUUUUUUGUAUUUGUUUAGUAGAGAUGGGGUUUCGCCAUGUUGCCCACACUGGUCUUGAACUCCUGGGCUCAAGCGAUCCACCCACCUCAGCCUCUCAAAGUGCUGGGAUUAGAGGCUUGAGCCACUGCACCCGGGGAACAACUCCCUUUUAUAGACUAAGCAUCUGAGGGUAAGCAAGACAAUGACUUGUCCACAAUCACACAGCCCCUACCCAUGGGGCAUAGCUGAGGGAGGACCCCUGUCACCAUCCAGAAAGACCAUCCCCUGAUUCCCCAAAUGCCCCAGCAGAAUAUCUUCCAGGCUGCUUGCUCAGCCUCUGCCCUGCCAGGAAAAUGAGCACCUUCUCUAGGGCAUCCAC
rnacentral:lncRNA from 1 species